rnacentral:rRNA from 1 species
GUCUACGGCCAUGCCACCCUGAAUAAGCCCAAUUUCGUCUGAUCUCGGAAGCUAAGCAGGGUCAGGCCUGGUUAGUACUUGAAUGGGAGACCACCUAGGAAGACCAAGUGCUGUAGGCA